UGGGGAAUAUUGGACAAUGGGCGAAAGCCUGAUCCAGCAAUGCCGCGUGUGUGAAGAAGGUCUUCGGAUUGUAAAGCACUUUCGACGGGGACGAUGAUGACGGUACCCGUAGAAGAAGCCCCGGCUAACUUCGUGCCAA
rnacentral:rRNA from 1 species